rnacentral:rRNA from 1 species
UACGGAGGGGGCUAGCGUUGUUCGGAAUUACUGGGCGUAAAGCGCGCGUAGGCGGACCUGCAAGUCGGGGGUGAAAGCCCUGGGCUCAACCCAGGAAGUGCACUCGAUACUGCGUGGCUUGAGUACUGGAGAGGUUGGUGGAAUUCUCGGUGUAGAGGUGAAAUUCGUAGAUAUCGAGAGGAACACCGGUGGCGAAGGCGGCCUGCUGGGCAGUUGCUGACACUGAGGCGCGACAGCGUGGGGAGCAAACAGG